UACAGAGGUCCCAAGCGUUGUUCGGAUUCACUGGGCGUAAAGGGUGCGUAGGUGGUCGGGUAAGUCUGAUGUGAAAUCUCUGAGCUCAACUCAGAAACUGCAUUGGAUACUAUCCGGCUGGAGGAGUGGAGGGGGGACUGGAAUACUUGGUGUAGCAGUGAAAUGUGUAGAUAUCAAGUGGAACACCAGUGGCGAAGGCGAGUCCCUGGACACUUCCUGACACUGAGGCACGAAAGCUAGGGGAGCAAACAGG
rnacentral:rRNA from 1 species